GAGGGAUGGGAGGAGGGGGUGGGGCUUACUUGUUGUAGCUUUUUUUUUUUUUACAGACUUCACAGAGAAUGCAGUUGUCUUGACUUCAGAUGCAACCUUAAAAUCAGUGACAAGAAACAUUCCAAACAAGCAACAGUCUUCAAGAAAUUAAACUGGCAAGUGGAAAUGUUUAAACAGUUCAGUGAUCUUUAGUGCAUUGUUUAUGUGUGGGUUUCUCUCUCCCCUCCCUUGGUCUUAAUUCUUACAUGCAGGAACACUCAGCAGACACACGUAUGCGAAGGGCCAGAGAAGCCAGACCCAGUAAGAAAAAAUAGCCUAUUUACUUUAAAUAAACCAAACAUUCCAUUUUAAAUGUGGGGAUUGGGAACCACUAGUUCUUUCAGAUGGUAUUCUUCAGACUAUAGAAGGAGCUUCCAGUUGAAUUCACCAGUGGACAAAAUGAGGAAAACAGGUGAACAAGCUUUUUCUGUAUUUACAUACAAAGUCAGAUCAGUUAUGGGACAAUAGUAUUGAAUAGAUUUCAGCUUUAUGCUGGAGUAACUGGCAUGUGAGCAAACUGUGUUGGCGUGGGGGUGGAGGGGUGAGGUGGGCGCUAAGCCUUUUUUUAAGAUUUUUCAGGUACCCCUCACUAAAGGCACCGAAGGCUUAAAGUAGGACAACCAUGGAGCCUUCCUGUGGCAGGAGAGACAACAAAGCGCUAUUAUCCUAAGGUCAAGAGAAGUGUCAGCCUCACCUGAUUUUUAUUAGUAAUGAGGACUUGCCUCAACUCCCUCUUUCUGGAGUGAAGCAUCCGAAGGAAUGCUUGAAGUACCCCUGGGCUUCUCUUAACAUUUAAGCAAGCUGUUUUUAUAGCAGCUCUUAAUAAUAAAGCCCAAAUCUCAAGCGGUGCUUGAAGGGGAGGGAAAGGGGGAAAGCGGGCAACCACUUUUCCCUAGCUUUUCCAGAAGCCUGUUAAAAGCAAGGUCUCCCCACAAGCAACUUCUCUGCCACAUCGCCACCCCGUGCCUUUUGAUCUAGCACAGACCCUUCACCCCUCACCUCGAUGCAGCCAGUAGCUUGGAUCCUUGUGGGCAUGAUCCAUAAUCGGUUUCAAGGUAACGAUGGUGUCGAGGUCUUUGGUGGGUUGAACUAUGUUAGAAAAGGCCAUUAAUUUGCCUGCAAAUUGUUAACAGAAGGGUAUUAAAACCACAGCUAAGUAGCUCUAUUAUAAUACUUAUCCAGUGACUAAAACCAACUUAAACCAGUAAGUGGAGAAAUAACAUGUUCAAGAACUGUAAUGCUGGGUGGGAACAUGUAACUUGUAGACUGGAGAAGAUAGGCAUUUGAGUGGCUGAGAGGGCUUUUGGGUGGGAAUGCAAAAAUUCUCUGCUAAGACUUUUUCAGGUGAACAUAACAGACUUGGCCAAGCUAGCAUCUUAGCGGAAGCUGAUCUCCAAUGCUCUUCAGUAGGGUCAUGAAGGUUUUUCUUUUCCUGAGAAAACAACACGUAUUGUUUUCUCAGGUUUUGCUUUUUGGCCUUUUUCUAGCUUAAAAAAAAAAAAAGCAAAAGAUGCUGGUGGUUGGCACUCCUGGUUUCCAGGACGGGGUUCAAAUCCCUGCGGCGUCUUUGCUUUGACUACUAAUCUGUCUUCAGGACUCUUUCUGUAUUUCUCCUUUUCUCUGCAGGUGCUAGUUCUUGGAGUUUUGGGGAGGUGGGAGGUAACAGCACAAUAUCUUUGAACUAUAUACAUCCUUGAUGUAUAAUUUGUCAGGAGCUUGACUUGAUUGUAUAUUCAUAUUUACACGAGAACCUAAUAUAACUGCCUUGUCUUUUUCAGGUAAUAGCCUGCAGCUGGUGUUUUGAGAAGCCCUACUGCUGAAAACUUAACAAUUUUGUGUAAUAAAAAUGGAGAAGCUCUAAA
ensembl:lncRNA MALAT1 metastasis associated lung adenocarcinoma transcript 1